GCCCUAGUGACGCCGGGGACGCCGACGCUGCCCCCCCUCACUCCCCUCUCUCGCACCACACAUUUCUCUCCUCCGUUUUUUUUGGAAAGAAAAAAGCUAAAGUUUCCGUAGGUGAACCUGCGGAAGGAUCAUUG
rnacentral:rRNA from 1 species